rnacentral:rRNA from 1 species
GCGGACGGGUGAGUAAUGUCUGGGAAACUGCCUGAUGGAGGGGGAUAACUACUGGAAACGGUAGCUAAUACCGCAUAACGUCGCAAGACCAAANAGGGGGACCCUCGGGCCUCUUGCCAUCGGAUGUGCCCAGAUGGGAUUAGCUUGUUGGUGGGGUAACGGCUCACCAAGGCGACGAUCCCUAGCUGGUCUGAGAGGAUGACCAGCCACACUGGAACUGAGACACGGUCCAGACUCCUACGGGAGGCAGCAUG